UACGGGGGGGGCAAGCGUUGUUCGGAAUUACUGGGCGUAAAGGGUUCGUAGGUGGCUGGCUAAGUCAGACGUGAAAUCCCUCAGCUUAACUGGGGAACUGCGUCUGAGACUGGCGGGCUUGAGUGCAGGAGAGGAACGCGGAAUUCCAGGUGUAGCGGUGAAAUGCGUAGAUAUCUGGAGGAACACCGGUGGCGAAGGCGGCGUUCUGGACUGUAACUGACACUGAGGAACGAAAGCCAGGGUAGCAAACGGG
rnacentral:rRNA from 1 species